rnacentral:rRNA from 1 species
UACGAAGGGGGCUAGCGUUGCUCGGAAUCACUGGGCGUAAAGGGUGCGUAGGCGGGUCUUAAGUCAGGGGUGAAAUCCUGGAGCUCAACUCCAGAACUGCCUUUGAUACUGAAGAUCUUGAGUUCGGGAGAGGUGAGUGGAACUGCGAGUGUAGAGGUGAAAUUCGUAGAUAUUCGCAAGAACACCAGUGGCGAAGGCGGCUCACUGGCCCGAUACUGACGCUGAUGCACGAAAGCGUGGGGGAGCAAACAGG